rfam:Ornithorhynchus anatinus chromosome 7, whole genome shotgun sequence.
UCCCUCUCAAGAUCACUCCUGGAGUGUUUCCAGAAUCCCACCAGUCUCGGCCGUGAGAGGGAGAGUCAAGCAGAGGCCUACCCAUUCUAUUCCUAGCUUGGGCAGUGGCUAGCGAGUGGAAAGCAAUCUGCUACAGGU